ACUGCAGGGUGGGCUCAGGUCACCUGGGGCCUUGAGGACUUCCGGUCUGGGUGAAGCCUGUCCACAGGCUGUGCCCGGACAGAACUUGGCCAGUCUGGCUGGCCAGGCCCAGGGAAAGGAGGGCAGGUGCCCCUCUACCCUAGGCUCAUUCAUGGGGAGGUAGCAAUGAUGGGGACCAGACAGUGCCAUCCCUGGGCCUAGGGUUACUGACUCAGGCAGUGGAGUUUGCCAAGUGACUCACCUGCUGUCUGCCUGUCUGCCUCUCCCUCUCCAGGGAGAAACUCCCAAAGGUUUUGGAGACACAUGUGGAGGACCUGCCCCCUCCUGGAGAGGAGGGGCAUGAAGUUCCUGGGCAGGAUGCCAUCAGCCAGGCAGAGGGCAAGGAGAAGCAGCCCAGGUUGUCUGCCUCAGUUUCCUUUUCUGCCCCACUUGGUCUUGCUGCUGGAAGCUGCCUCAGAUCUAGGGGUGCCUAGGCCCCCUGUGCAGAGCUGUUCUCAAAUUGCUUUCCAACCUGUGUUCCCAGGGCAGAGCAG
rnacentral:lncRNA from 1 species